UCCCUCCUCUCUGUAUU
rnacentral:miRNA from 1 species